rnacentral:lncRNA from 1 species
AUCCACCUCGUCUGAUCCACUCUUUGCCGCCGCACCGCUCGCAGCCCAGCUGAAGGAUUUCAAUUUCCGGACUUCGCUGGUCGACGUGCCCAUCAUAUCUGCAGCCAGAUCACUCCUCAUCCUAUGUAAGAAGGGAAUCCAGUACUUCUAAGGGAAUUAAUCGUGUCACUGGAUGAAUUGGUAUUCAUUGGCAUCAUAUUGGUUGCAGGUGUUUAUGUGGUUUGUGGCGGACGGGGGCUGUACCUGGGGGUGGCGACGCUGUGUGGUUUCGGCUCGAUGGGGUACGUGUUGGCUAAGGGCAUUGGGAUGUACCGGGCGGCGGCC